GAGUCUAUCCUUGAAAUGUUCAUCCUAACUGGUGACAGAUAUUCUCUUUUCGGUAUUCUAUCCAGUAAAUGAUAGAUGUAAUUCCCAUUUAUCCCCUCGAAGUCUAUCCUUGAUAUGUUCAUCCUAACCAGUGACAUAUAUUCUCUUUUCGGUAUUCUAUCCAGUAUCCGAUAGAUGUAAUUCCUUCUUUUUCCCUGUAGUCUAUCCUUGAUAUGUUCAUCUUAAAUGAUGACGGAUAUUCUUCC
rnacentral:lncRNA from 1 species